rnacentral:rRNA from 1 species
GACGAAGGGGGCUAGCGUUGUUCGGAAUUAUUGGGCGUAAAGGGUAGGUAGGUGGUCUUAUUUGUCUGGGGUGAAAGCCUUGAGCUUAACUCGAGAAGUGCCUCAGAAACGGUAAGACUGGAGUCCUGGAGAGGGUCGUAGAAUUCCCGGUGUAGCGGUGAAAUGCGUAGAGAUCGGGAGGAACACCAGAGGCGAAGGCGGCGACCUGGACAGGAACUGACACUCAACUACGAAAGCGUGGGGAGCAAACAGG